rnacentral:rRNA from 1 species
UGAGAUCAUGCCCCUCGGGGUAGACCUCCCACCCUUUGUUUACAAUACCUUUGUUGCUUUGGCGGCCCCGUCGCAAGACAACCGGCUCCGGCUGGUCAGCGGCUGCCAGAGGACCCAAAACUCAUAUUGUCAUUGUCGUCUGAGUACUAUAUAAUAGUUAAAACUUUCAACAACGGAUCUCUUGGUUCUGGCAUCGAUGAAGAACGCAGCGAAAUGCGAUAAGUAAUGUGAAUUGCAGAAUUCAGUGAAUCAUCGAAUCUUUGAACGCACAUUGCGCCCCCUGGUAUUCCGGGGGGCAUGCCUGUUCGAGCGUCAUUACAACCCUCAAGCUCUGCUUGGUAUUGGGUGUCACCCCCGGGUGCGCCUUAAAAUCAGUGGCGGUGCCGUCUGGCUUCAAGCGUAGUAAUACUUCUCGCUUUGGAGUUCCGGGCGAGCGUCUCGCCAAAACCCCCAUAUUUUUUCAGGUUGACCUCGGAUCAGGUAGGGAUACCCGCUGAACUUAAGCAUAUCAAUAAGCGGAGGAAAAGAAACCAACAGGGAUUGCCUCAGUAACGGCGAGUGAAGCGGCAACAGCUCAAAUUUGAAAUCUGGCCCUUUCAGGGUCCGAGUUGUAAUUUGUAGAGGAUGUUUCGGGUGUGGCUCCGGUCUAAGUUCCUUGGAACAGGACGUCAUAGAGGGUGAGAAUCCCGUAUGUGACUGGUAGCCUAUGCUCAUGUGAAACUCCUUCGACGAGUCGAGUUGUUUGGGAAUGCAGCUCAAAAUGGGUGGUAAAUUUCAUCUAAAGCUAAAUAUUGGCCAGAGACCGAUAGCGCACAAGUAGAGUGAUCGAAAGAUGAAAAGCACUUUGGAAAGAGAGUUAAACAGUACGUGAAAUUGUUGAAAGGGAAGCGCUUGCAACCAGACUUGCAUGUGGCUGAUCAACCGGUGUUCUCACCGGUGCACUCAGUCACGUUCAGGCCAGCAUCGGUUUCGACGGUUGGAUAAAGGCCUUGGGAAUGUAGCUCCUCUCGGGGAGUGUUAUAGCCCAGGGUGCAAUGCAGCCUGU